rnacentral:lncRNA from 11 species
AUGGCCUUCAUGUCCUCUCUCCACCUUCUUUCCAAAACAAAUAUUCCCGGCUCCCUCAGAAGCUCCUCAGAAGGAGUUCUAGUUCUCAGACCUUUCACUCUUUUGGUCACUCUUCUCUGGACACAGUCUACUUUGUCCCAGCCUUUCCUGACCUUUGUUGCCCAGAAGUGGACACAGUCUUAUUCCAGGCAAAGUCUGACCAAAGCCAAAGAGAUACCCACCUUCAGAGGGAGACAGAGCUUUGGAGACAGGAGGAGCUUCCUCUUGGAGAAAAUCCCAACUCCUUCAAAAGACGAGCUGGUGAGUGAAAGAAGGGCGCUGGAAAAGAGGGAGCUUGCCUCUCUCCUUCCUUUGGUAGAUGGAUUCCGGGUCAGGGGCAUCUCAAGACCCCUUGAGUUCUAGGUGGCCCUUGGCCAAAGAGGCCUCCCUUGCAAUGGGAAUCCUGCAGCCCUCAUUUGUUGUUGGACUGCUAGCCUCAGCAGCCCCAGGUAGCGUGGUCAUUGGGGAAUAAGGCUGGGAGUUGCAGUUCAACCCUCUCCGUGAUUCGCAGUGUAAAUUCACCUGAGAAAGAGGGAGGGAGAGUGCAACAAAGGCCACAGCAGCCACUUCCCUCUUCCUCCCCCUCAACAGGGCUCAAAGGAAGUUGGGAUCCCUUCAGAGCUGUUCCUGAAGGGAUCCCAGGAUCUCACUACAGAGAGGCACCUCCUUCCCAGGUUCAGGGGCACAUGACUGGCAGAGGUCCCCUCCCUCCUCCAGUUGAGGCCAAGAGGGCCUCAGCUGGCAGCCCUAGAUGGUGCAGAGGCUGUAAGAACCAUGCAGGUGCUCUGGAUAGAAAAUUCUCUAUACGAGAUAAUCCUCCCUCCUAGACAACCCAUUCUCCUUAAAAUUUAUUCAAUCUACUUAUCUGACCACCCUGGGUCUUGGAGGAGGCCUUGGGAGGGCAUAUUGGAGAAGGAAAAAAAGAAGAGGAUCAGAAGGUAGGUAGAGGUAGAGCAUAACCGCCAUUAAGACCUCAGCCGAAUUCGCUCGCUGCUUCCUGCUGGUUGCUUGCAGGUUUGAUCAUUUGAUCUUUUAAAUUCUAACUUUAAGAUCUUAAAAACUGCGACAACUAGCCUAUUUACAACCUGUAAACUCUGCCUCGGAGCCUCUGGUGGCUCAGUGUGUUAACGCGCUGAGUUGCUGAACUUGCAGACCAUCAUAUCCGAGACCAUAGUUUAACUGCUGGGCCUACACACAGCUCGAUCGCCAUUGGCAAUGGGUGAGACCUCCCUUUGCUCAGUGAUUCCAUUUGCUGCUGCAGCCAGCUGAAGUGGAUCCUGAUACUGCUGGCUUUAGUCUAUAAAGCCCUAAACAGUUCUGGCCAAGCUUACUUCUCCAAACAUAUCUCCCUCAAUUAACCAUCUCAGAGUUUAAGAUCACCUGGAGAGGCCCUGCCCUCAACUCUGCCUUCUAAGCAGGUGCGAUUGAUGGAGACAAGAGACCCAGAGAGAUUGGAUUAGCUCCCUCCUCCCAGGAGGAUUUCAUCACAUGGAGCCAUGGCAUUUAAAGUGGGGUGCAGGGGCAUUCAUUCCAUAUUGAAAAUGCACCAAGGGAAGGGUAUGGACCUUGGAAAACUAUGACUCCCAGGACUCCCACAGAUUGGGAAAACAUCUUAUUUUAAUCCCGAGAGCAAUUAAUGCCACCACAUUACAGAACUGGCAAUUCAUCUGGACAUUCCCCAAAAAUCCACUUCUGCACCACCUCCUGAAAAGAAUGCUGGCCCCCAUGCUUAAAAUAUGGAAAGAAUGCUCUACCCUACACUUGAAACCAUCCCAAUGUGAUGAACACAGUGGGUUACCGUAUUUUAAGCGUAGUACUCGGUGGAAUUUAGUAAAUGUGAUGAAGUGGUUGGUGCAUAAUUUUACAUACAGGCAGCAACACAAUAGUAGGAUGGGAGUAUCAUGCUCCCCAAGAUGUCAUGGGUGUAAACUGUCUUACCUUCUUAAAGCCUGCUAUGUGUUUGGAUGCAAACCUGUCAAUUAUGCCAGAUGCAUGUUUAUAGAUUUUCUUGAUAACUGGAAAAAAUUGGGAGGACAAUAGUGUAUAUAUUGAAAAAAAAUUGAGAUUUCAAGGAAAAGCCUUUUAUGUUGCUGUACAAACAACCUGAAUGGUGCAUCCUCUCAUAAAGAACCAUUUCACCAAGGUCUGCAAUUUCUCAAUAUAGCUGUAAUUAUGUUUCAUCCUACAAAUUGCCUGUCAAGAAAAAGUGUUCUUCAAAAAUGUAGGGUGGCAAAGAAUUUCAGAAGCAAAUCAACGUGAUUAGAGCAUAGCUUUUCAUUCUGUUAAGAUCAUGAGAAAGUAUGGCUUGCUCUGAAAGAAAGGGGAGUGCCACAUCAUCUGAUUGUCCUGCUGGGAAGCCACUACUCUGUAGGCUAUAUUUCAAAGAUAGGAACUGGCAAAAACACAGCUGAGUACUCCUUGCUUGAAAAAAAAAAACACCCAUGAAAUUCAUGAGGUUACAAUAAGUCAACAUGUGAUUUGAAGGCACAUACAUGCACACCUAGGAAGCUAUAUUUAUUCUUCCCAUGUUUUUGGCCUCAUGUUAAACUUUCUGGUAAAGAACUAAUGCCCAGGAACACAUCUAUUUCAUUAACUGAUGUAGUGGUUAUUGCUAUAUUC